rnacentral:rRNA from 1 species
AGUGAACGCUGGCGGUAGGCCUAACACAUGCAAGUCGAACGGCAGCACAGUAAGAGCUUGCUCUUACGGGUGGCGAGUGGCGGACGGGUGAGGAAUACAUCGGAAUCUACUUUUUCGUGGGGGAGAAAGUAGGGAAACUUACGCUAAUACCGCAUACGACCUACGGGUGAAAGCAGGGGAUCUUCGGACCUUGCGCGAUUGAAUGAGCCGAUGUCGGAUUAGCUAGUUGGCGGGGUAACGGCACAACAAGGCGACGAUCCGUAGCUGGUCUGAGAGGACGAUCAGCCACACUGGAACUGAGACACGGUCCAGACUCCUACGGGAGGCAGCAGUGGGGAAUAUUGGACAAUGGGCGCAAUCCUGAUCCAGCCAUACCGCGUGGGUGAAGAAGGCCUUCGGGUUGUAAAGCCCUUUUGGUUGGAAAGAAAAGCAGCACGUUAAUACCCCGCUGUUCUGACGGUACCCAAAGAAUAAGCACCGGCUAACUUCGUG